AUUGAACGCUGGCGGCAUGCUUUACACAUGCAAGUCGAACGGCAGCGCGGGCUUCGGCCUGGCGGCGAGUGGCGAACGGGUGAGUAAUGCAUCGGAACGUGCCCAGUAGUGGGGGAUAGCCCAGCGAAAGCCGGAUUAAUACCGCAUACGACCUGAGGGUGAAAGCGGGGGACCGAAAGGCCUCGCGCUAUUUGAGCGGCCGAUGUCGGAUUAGCUAGUUGGUGGGGUAAAGGCUUACCAAGGCGACGAUCCGUAGCUGGUCUGAGAGGACGACCAGCCACACUGGGACUGAGACACGGCCCAGACUCCUACGGGAGGCAGCAGUGGGGAAUUUUGGACAAUGGGGGCAACCCUGAUCCAGCCAUGCCGCGUGCGGGAAGAAGGCCUUCGGGUUGUAAACCGCUUUUGUUCGGGAAGAAAUCCUCUGGGCUAAUACCCCGGGGGGAUGACGGUACCGGAAGAAUAAGCACCGGCUAACUACGUG
rnacentral:rRNA from 1 species